GGAUUACAGGCGUGAGCCACCACUCCCGGCUGUACCAGGGUUUUCUAUUGAGUUUCUCGCCAAGGGUGACUUCCAAUAGCAACCCCCCCUGCACUUUUCUCAGGACUGGAAAGCUCAGGCAGCCCAGGGUGAAUAAAAGCCUGAGUAGUGCAGUCAGCACAGAGGGGCAGGGUGGCCACAAGGUGGGCAGCAGCAGGGAUGGGCAUUGUGAGGCCUUGGGUGGGGCUGUGGGGCUGGACAUUGUGAGUCACUAGCCUGGCCUGGCUGUUUCCUGGUAACCAGGUGACACAGGAAGCUUUGUGGGUUAUAGGCAUCAGCCAGGGCCAGCAGCCCUCAGUCAGUAGCUAGGAGGAGGAGGAGGAGGAGCUCUGACUGUGCUGUGUCCCAGCAGUUUUUGUGCCUCUCAGUGCUUGUCGUGUUUGUUUAUUUUUCAGAGAAGACAGCAGGUCCCCGACCUCAUAGACCCGCCACCUUAGAAGGUGGCGGCAAAGUACGGGCUGAGGCCCCAGAUCUGCCUGGAGUCAGGCUGCUUCUACAAGUGCUGUGCCAGCCUCAGUACUGUGGCUGCUCGGACAGCACCGUUUCAGUUUCAUCAAAGGCUCAGGCAGGAGUGAAUUGUGGGUGCCCCAUGGGGUGUAUACUGACCUGUUGUAUCGACUCCAGCUGUGGCUGGUGCAAGGGGGAGGAGGAACCCUGUUAUGAAUCUGAUACUUAUGAGGCUGUGGCUGCUGCAACAUCAGAAUCCACUACUGUAGAGCCUGGCAAGCUGGAUGUGGGAGCCACGGAGGGCCACGACCUGCAGCACAUCAGCAACCAAAAGAUGCCCACAGGUCCCCCUGAGGACAGCCUGAGUUUAAAAUCUCUACCACCAAGUGAGGAAGACAAUGACGAUACCCAGAUUCUACCAUCACGUGUGCAGGGUUCUUCUGAGGACAACUUGAGUUUAUUAAGCCUACCACGAAGUGAAGAUGAUUAUUUGGAUGAUGAUGAUGAUGCCCAGAUUUUACCAUCACCUGUGCAGGGUUCUUCUGAGGACAACUUGAGUUUAUUAAGCCUACCACGAAGUGAAGAUGAUUAUUUGGAUGAUGAUGAUGAUGCCCAGAUUUUACCAUCACCUGUGCAGGCUCGUCCUGAGGACGACCUGUUUUUAAGAUGCUCACCGCAACAUAAAGAUGAAGAUGAUAAUGAUGAUGGUGAUGUCCAGAUAACAGCUUGGAAUGAAAAUGACUUGACGCUGGAGAGCAUAAGUGAUGAGGAGACUUACCCAGGCACCCCAGUAGCACAUGGAGAGAACAGGGAGGCCUAAGAUGAGUCCGGGUCAUGGAAGGUCUCCAGUGAGAGGAUCGUGGAAGAUGUGAAAAGCAUCCUGGAGGGGAAGGGUGAAGCCCUCCCAGGAGCUGACCAGGGAGCUGACCUAAAGGGCAGACCAGCACGUGCUACAGGAACAUCUGAGGGCGGCUCAAGCUCUGCAGUCGGGUGUUUUCCAUGGAUUCCUAGGCUCCCCUCCUGGACAGCACCAGGAAUGUGCCUUCGAGGUGGGGCUUCAGGCCAGCCUGGGGGCAUGGUUGGGUGACUUUGGAGAAUGCAGCUCUUUGCUGGGAAGAUCUUGAGGAGGAAACCAGAACCUCUCCCUGUCCUGAGCUCUCAUCCUUGGGGGAGCCUUUUAGGACAGAGUCAUCCUCAGUCGUAAGAACCUGCAUCGGGUUUCACCUUUUGCCUUCCUUCCUGCCACCCAGGGUAGGGAAAGGGCAGACCUGGCUGAGCAGAGCCACACCCAGCCACACCCCAUGGGUCAAUCACUGGAGCUUCUGAAACCUGGGUGAUGCCUGGUGCAGCUGCGUUCCUUCCUUCCCCCAGCCCAAGUUCCUGCCCCCAGCUUUGCCCCUGGAGGUCUCCGUCCUCUCUACAUGCUGAGGAAAACUCUUGGCCCCAGCAGAGAGUGAAACUCCAAGGCCAUCUCCCACCCACCCCAGCACUGGGUUCGGCCUGUACCAUCCAGGACCUGGUGCUUCUGGGCCUGGCAUUCCACCUUUGGCAAGAGAGUGAGAAGAGAUGUGACUGUGCUCCAGGAACAGAAAGUGCCAUUCGAACUUGAAAUAAAGAGACUGAGUGCAUUGA